rnacentral:misc_RNA from 2 species
AACGCACAUUGCGCCCUCUGGUAUUCCGGAGGGCAUGCCUGUUCGAGCGUCAUUAUCAACCCUCAAGCCCCGGCUUGGUGUUGGAGGCCCGGCGAGGUUCUGAACCUGGCCGCUCCGAAAGAUAACGACGGCGUCCGGCGGACCCCUGGUACAAUGAGCUUUCCAAGCACGUAUCGGUCGCGGUCCCCGGGGGCUGGUCUAUAACCCAUAUUUUACAAGGUUGACCUCGGAUCAGGUAGGGAUACCCGCUGAACUUAA